rnacentral:rRNA from 1 species
GAUGAACGCUAGCUACAGGCUUAACACAUGCAAGUCGAGGGGAAACGACAUCGAAAGCUUGCUUUUGAUGGGCGUCGACCGGCGCACGGGUGAGUAACGCGUAUCCAACCUGCCCACCACUUGGGGAUAACCUUGCGAAAGUAAGACUAAUACCCAAUGAUAUCCCACGAAGACAUCUGAAUGGGAUUAAAGAUUUAUCGGUGAUGGAUGGGGAUGCGUCUGAUUAGCUUGUUGGCGGGGUAACGGCCCACCAAGGCAACGAUCAGUAGGGGUUCUGAGAGGAAGGUCCCCCACAUUGGAACUGAGACACGGUCCAAACUCCUACGGGAGGCAGCAGUGAGGAAUAGUGGCCAAUGGGCGAGAGCCUGAACCAGCCAAGUAGCGUGCAGGAAGACGGCCCUAUGGGUUGUAAACUGCUUCUAUAAGGGAAUAAAGUGGGUCACGUGUGACUUUUUGCAUGUACCUUAUGAAUAAGGACCGGCUAAUUCCGUG